rnacentral:rRNA from 1 species
UGCGCCUUGCCACGCCCGCUCAGAAACUUAAAGGAAUUGACGGGGGCCCGCACAAGCGGAGGAACAUGUGGUUUAAUUCGAUGAUACGCGAGGAACCCUUACCUGGGGCUAGAACGCAAUCGGAAUCAGGCCGAAAGGUCUGCGCCAGCGAUGGCCGCUUGCGAGGUGCUGCAUGGUUGUCGUCAGCUCGUGCCGUGAGGUGUCGGGUUAAGUCCCAUAACGAGCGCAACCCCUACUGCUAGUUGCCAGCGGGUCAUGCCGGGGACUCUAGCGGAACUGCCAGCGUAAGCUGCGAGGAAGGUGGGGAUGACGUCAAAUCAGCACGGCCCUUACGUCCAGGGCUACACACGUGUUACAAUGGCCAGUACAGAGGGCAGCCACCCCGCGAGGGGGCGCUAAUCCUAAAAGCUGGUCCCAGUUCGGAUCGGAGUCUGCAACCCGACUCCGUGAAGCUGGAUUCGCUAGUAAUCGCGCAUCAGCCACGGCGCGGUGAAUACGUUCCCGGGCCUU